UCAGAAAGGUGAGUGGCAAACUAUAUUUCUAAGUUUCUUGAUAGUUCCAAUUCUUCCAGAAAUGCUAUAAAAGAACCUCCACUUGCUCCUGAUGAUGAUGAUCUUCCUGAGUUUGACUUUGAAGCUGCACGUGGCAUUUCAUUGACUACGGCAAACAAGGCAUUAGCAGUAGUGCUGAUACUGCUGUCGCGCUACCAAAAAAUCUUUUCCAUCAUGAUGAUGACAUGCCUGAAUGGUGCCCUCCAUAUGCAAAGCUGCAAAGACAAGUGGUUUCUGAAACAGUUAGGCUAUCAAUCUGUGGAAGUUUCCCUCGUAGCUCGGCUAGCCGCCUUUUGCCUCCUAUAUCUCCAGGGAGAGGCGCCUAUUCGCCUUUCUUUACCAAUGUGUAUGGUAAUUGCCCCAUGGAUCAGAAUGCGAAACCUCCAGUCCGUCCUGAUAGUUGGAGCAGUUGGAUACCUUGAUAUUUUGGAAGGCAGAAAAUUGCUUGAAAAUGUGAACUAGCAUUGGAAAUUGUGACAUUAUGUUCAUUCCCCUUUAGAUAGAGAUACAUAUAUGUGCCUUAAUUAAUAGUUAUGUGAAUUUGUAUGUAUUUACAAGUUAAUCAAUCAGGUUUCCAUAACUAUA